rnacentral:rRNA from 1 species
UACGUAGGGGGCUAGCGUUGUCCGGAUUUAUUGGGCGUAAAGAGCGUGUAGGCGGCCAUGUAGGUCCGGUGUGAAAACUCGAGGCUUAACCUCGAGAUGUCAUCGGAAACCAUUUGGCUAGAGUCCGGAAGAGGAGAGUGGAAUUCCUGGUGUAGCGGUGAAAUGCGCAGAUAUCAGGAAGAACACCAAUGGCGAAAGCAGCUCUCUGGGACGGUACUGACGCUGAGGAGC